CCCCUCUCAGGGUCACACAUGGAGAGUUUCCAGUAGUCUACCAGUCUCGAGUAUGAGAGGGAGAGUCAAGCAGAGGCAUAUCCAUUCCAUUCCCAGCUUGUGCAGUGGCUAGCAAGUGGAAGGCACUCUGCUACAAGU
rfam:Ornithorhynchus anatinus chromosome X1, whole genome shotgun sequence.